rnacentral:rRNA from 1 species
UGUCAGCCGCCGCGGUGAUACAGAGGUGGCAAGCGUUGUUCGGAUUUACUGGGCGUAAAGGGUGCGUAGGUAGUUUUGCAUGUCAGAUGUGAAAGCUCAUCGCUCAACGAUGAAAGUGCAUUUGAAACUGCAGGACUGGAGUACGGGGGAGGAGAGUGGAAUUCUUGGUGUAGCGGUGAAAUGCGUAGAUAUCAAGAAGAACACCGGUGGCGAAGGCGACUCUCUAUUCCGAUACUGACACUGAGGCACGAAAGCUGGGGGAGCAAACAGGAUUAGAUACCCUGGUAGUCCCAGCCUUAAACGGUGUACACUUGGUGUGGGAGGAUUUGACCCCUUCUGUGCCGGAGCUAACGCGUUAAGUGUACCGCCUGGGGAGUACGGCCGCAAGGUUAAAACUCAAAUAAAUUGACGG